AUUGAACGCUGGCGGCAGGCCUAACACAUGCAAGUCGAGCGGAGCGGCGAACGGGGGAGUAAUGCCUAGGAAUCUGCCUGGUAGUGGGGGAUAACGUCCGGAAACGGGCGCUAAUACCGCAUACUAUCAGAUGAGCCUAGGGCGGAUUAGCUAGUUGGUGGGGUGAAGGCCUACCAAGGCGACGAUCCGUAACUGGUCUGAGAGGAUGAUCAGUCACACUGGAACUGAGACAAGGUCCAGACUCCCAACGGGGGCCGCAGUGGGGAAUCUUCCGGAAAGGGCGAAAGUCCUGAGGAGCAACGCCCCGGGAGUUAUGACGGCCUUCGGGUUGGAAAGCUCCGUUUAUCGGGACGCGGUACCGGAAUAGAAAGCCACGGCUAACUACGUGCCAGCAGCCGCGGUAAUAC
rnacentral:rRNA from 1 species